AAUGAACGCUGGCGGCAGGCCUAAAACAUGCAAGUCGAACGCUGUAGCAAUACAGAGUGGCGCACGGGUGAGUAACAUGUGGGAAUAUGCCUAUUGGUACGGAACAACGUUUGGAAACGAACGCUAAUACCGUAUGGUCCCUUCGGGGUAAAGAUUUAUCGCCAAUAGAUUAGCCCGCACUAGAUUAGCUAGUUGGUGAGGUAAGAGCUCACCAAGGCGACGAUCUAUAGCUGGUCUGAGAGGACGAUCAGCCACACUGAGACUGAGACACGGCCCAGACUCCUACGGGAGGCAGCAGUUAGGAAUAUUGGACAAUGGGCGCAAGCCUGAUCCAGCCAUGCCGCGUGAGUGAUGAAGGCC
rnacentral:rRNA from 1 species